rnacentral:rRNA from 1 species
UACGUAGGGUGCAGGCGUUAAUCGGAAUUACUGGGCGUAAAGCGUGCGCAGGCGGUUUCUUAAGUCAGAUGUGAAAGCCCCGGGCUUAACCUGGGAACUGCGUUUGAAACUGGGAGACUUGAGUGUGGCAGAGGGGGGUGGAAUUCCACGUGUAGCAGUGAAAUGCGUCGAUAUGUGGAGGAACACCAAUGGCGAAGGCAGCCCCCUGGGUCAACACUGACGCUCAUGCACGAAAGCGUGGGGAGCAAACAGG